AGAUGGUAAGGUUGAAGUUACAAAAGAAGGUGUGAAGUUGUGUACCAUGGGUCCAGGAAAAGUGUUUGGGGAAUUGGCUAUUCUUUACAACUGUACCCGGACAGCGACCGUCAAGAACACUGUGAAUCUAAUUCAACAAGAAGAAACUAGAUGUUGAAUGCAAAUUAUAAGCCUAACUCUUUUGGGGUCAGAACAUCCAUCUUCAAAGAAAAUGAGUAAUGGGACAUGUUCUUCUUUAACACAGACUCAGAGAAAGCUCAAGAAUGCAUCCGUGCAUGUGUGUGUGUUUGUUUCUUCACAGUGCCUACUUAAGAUAUAAAAGUUGUGUUGACAAAAGAGCCUAGAGUUGGUGAUGUGCAAAUAUAUAUCUGCAUUUAUAGGUACAGAGGUUUUGUGCAUGAAUCAGAAACAAUAUCUGUGCGCAACUGUUUCUUCCAAAUGUUUCAUAAGCACUAUGAAGCAUGAAUAAUGUUUGUUUAUUGUUUCAGGACUUUUUUGUCCUGCCACCUCUGCUAUCUAGGGAGAUUGUACUUGUGACUGUAGGCCUCAAGCACCAUUUUUUUCUAUAUAUUUAAAUUAAACCUUCAGGCUGGAUAUGUUAUGAUUCUAAU
rnacentral:lncRNA from 1 species